rnacentral:lncRNA from 1 species
AGGUUGAAUCUGCAGUGAGCCAUGAUCCUACCACUGCACUCCAGUGUAGGCUACAGAGUGCAAUCCUGUUCCCUGCCCCCCAAUAAAAAGAAGUCCAGGGGUUCUUCUGGUAGCCACAAUGUAUGUAAACACUGGCCUCUGAGUCAAUUCAAGUCAACAAAAAUGUGUUGAGUGUCCUCCCUAUACUAGGCCUUGUGCUGGACCAGUGAUGAAGACAGCAAACAAGAUACUCUGGCCCUUUAGCCUGAAGAAGAAAAACCAAAACCAGAUUCCAUAUUCUCCCAAUCCAGGAUCUUGUCCUAUAGUAGUAUGUUGCCACCACCUGAACAUCAGUCUAGCAGACCUUUUACCUUAUUAUGCAGAAAGCACACUUGGCAUGAAAAGAAAGGGUAUCCUCGGCUAGAUUUGCUUCUGUCAUGGCUGAAAAGGUGAAGUGACCCG